GCCUUCCUCGUGUAACGGUUAGCAUACUCGGCCCGUAAUCGAUAGGUCUAGGUUCGAGUCCCGGCGAGGGCA
rnacentral:tRNA from 1 species